UACAGAGACUGCGAGCGUUAUUCGGAUUUACUGGGCGUAAAGGGCGCGUAGGCGGUCAGCACAAGUCAGUUGUGAAAUCUCCGGGCUUAACUCGGAAAGGUCAACUGAUACUGUGCGACUAGAGUGCAGAAGGGGCAACUGGAAUUCUCGGUGUAGCGGUGAAAUGCGUAGAUAUCGAGAGGAACACCUGCGGCGAAGGCGGGUUGCUGGGCUGACACUGACGCUGAUGCGCGAAAGCCAGGGGAGCGAACGGG
rnacentral:rRNA from 1 species